rnacentral:rRNA from 1 species
UACGUAGGGGCUAGCGUUAUCCGGAAUUACUGGGCGUAAAGGGUGCGUAGGCGGUCUUUCAAGCCAGAAGUGAAAGGCUACGGCUCAACCGUAGUAAGCUUUUGGAACUGUAAGACUUGAGUGCAGGAGAGGAAAGUGGAAUUCCCAGUGUAGCGGUGAAAUGCGUAGAUAUUAGGAGGAACACCAGUGGCGAAGGCGGCUUGCUGGACGACAACUGGCGCUGAGGCGCGAAAGCGUGGGGAGCAAACAGGAUUAGAUACCCUGGUAGUCCCUGA